CCCCCCGGCGCUGCGCGCGUGGAGCUGCGCCGCGCCUUGAGCUUUUCAAUUAAUUUUUAAAAUUUUUCUUCCUCUUUUAUUUUUUCAUUUUUCCGCUCCGGGCAGCAUGGGGCUGCCGGCGCUGGAGUUCAGCGAGUGCUGCCUGGACAGCCCCCAGUUCCGGGAGCGCCUCCGCUCCCACGAGGCCGAGCUGGAGAAGACCAACAAGUUCAUCAAGGAGCUCAUCAAGGACGGGAAGUCGCUCAUCGCCGCCCUCAAGAAUCUGUCUUCAGCCCAGCGGAAGUUUGCAGAUUCCCUAAAUGAAUUUAAAUUCCGCUGCAUAGGCGAUGCCGAGACGGAUGAUGAGAUCUGCAUAGCCAAAUCUCUCCAAGAGUUUGCCACUGUUCUCCGGAAUCUGGAAGACGAGCGGAUGCGCAUGGUUGAGAACGCCAGCGAGGUGCUCAUCACGCCGCUGGAGAAGUUCCGCAAGGAGCAGAUCGGUGCCGCUAAGGAUGCCAAAAAGAAAUAUGACAAGGAGACUGAGAAGUAUUGUGGUGUCUUAGAGAAGCAUUUAAACUUGUCUUCUAAGAAGAAAGAAUCCCAGCUCCAGGAGGCAGACAGCCAGGUAGACCUGGUUCGGCAGCAUUUUUAUGAAGUUUCCCUGGAGUAUGUCUUCAAGGUGCAAGAAGUCCAGGAAAGGAAGAUGUUUGAGUUUGUGGAACCUCUGCUGGCCUUUCUGCAGGGGCUUUUCACCUUCUACCACCAUGGCUAUGAACUUGCGAAGGACUUCAGUGAUUUCAAGACAGAGCUGACGAUCAGCAUCCAGAACACAAGAAAUCGUUUUGAAGGAACAAGGUCGGAGGUUGAAUCAUUGAUGAAGAAGAUGAAGGAGAAUCCUCAUGAACACAAGAACAUCAGCCCAUACACCAUGGAGGGUUACCUCUACGUGCAGGAGAAACGUCACUUUGGGACUUCCUGGGUGAAGCAUUAUUGUACAUAUCAGAGGGAAUCAAAGAAGAUCACGAUGGUACCAUUUGACCAGAAAUCUGGAGGAAAAGGGGGAGAAGAUGAAGCCGUUAUCCUCAAAUCUUGCACACGACGGAAAACUGACUCAAUUGAGAAGAGAUUUUGCUUUGAUGUGGAAGCGGUGGACCGGCCUGGCGUGAUCACCAUGCAGGCGCUCUCCGAAGAGGACCGAAGGCUUUGGAUGGAGGCGAUGGACGGCCGGGAACCGGUCUACAACUCGAACAAGGACAACCAGAGCGAAGGCACUGCCCAGUUGGAUAAUAUCGGCUUCAGCAUUAUCAAGAAAUGCAUACAUGCUGUUGAAACAAGAGGGAUCAAUGAGCAGGGGCUCUACCGAAUCGUUGGAGUAAACUCUAGAGUUCAAAAGCUGUUGAGUAUAUUAAUGGAUCCCAAAACAGCCACUGAAACGGAAACGGAGAUCUGUGCCGAAUGGGAGAUAAAGACCAUUACGAGCGCCCUGAAAACCUACCUGAGGAUGCUUCCAGGGCCGCUCAUGAUGUAUCAGUUUCAAAGAAGCUUCAUCAAAGCAGCAAAACUGGAGAAUCAGGAGUCCAGGGUGUCCGAGAUUCACAGCCUCGUUCAUCGGCUCCCAGAGAAGAACAGGCAGAUGCUGCACUUGCUCAUGAACCACUUGGCAAAAGUUGCGAACAACCACAAGCAGAACCUGAUGACCGUGGCUAAUCUGGGUGUGGUGUUCGGGCCGACGCUGCUCCGGCCUCAGGAAGAAACCGUUGCAGCCAUCAUGGACAUCAAGUUUCAGAACAUCGUGAUUGAGAUUUUGAUAGAGAACCACGAGAAGAUAUUUAACACGGUGCCCGAGACCCCACCAUCGAACUCCCAGCUGCUGUUAUCCCGCAAGAAGAGCACGGAUUCGAAGCCGCCCUCCUGCAGCGAGAGGCCCCUGACGCUCUUCCAUACCGCGCAGCCCAACGACAAGCAGGAGAACAGGAACAGUAUCAUCAACUCCAGCCUGGAAUCCGUCACAUCCUCGAACGUAAACAGCUUCCUCAACUCCAGCAGCGCUCCGCAGCCCAACCUGAACUCAAGUGAUCUCGAACUAGAAGUAAUUAAACCCAACAGGCCAAAUUCACUAUGGUAUGAUGCUUCCAUCGCCUGGAUCCCACCCAAUCUGGAAGACUUCUGUCUGCAAGUCACACUGAAAUACAUCCCAUUGCAGCAGCUUUCUUUCCUCAGUGCUUAGUCAUGCUGAAAACGCAGCCAUUUCUGAUCCUUUGCUUAUUCACUCAACCUUUCUCCAGCAUUAACACCAGUCUCUAAGCUUCCUGCCAGAAGGCUAUACCAAACCAUCAAUGCCAUCGCAUCCGUUUGAAACACUGCGUGUAAGCUCUCUGUAUGUGGAAGUGGAAGCGUCUGUUAAGUGGGACAACAGAAACACCAGCUUUCCUUCCCGAAGCCGGAACUCUUCCCAGUCUCCCUUUCACGCAAGUGGAAAAACUUUAAGCGGGUUUAUGAAAUUACCAAAGCAGAGAAGUGUUUCUAUAUAAUGGGAAAUAAGUCAAACAGCAAAGUAAGAGGAGAAAUCAAUGUGCUGGGUGUCUUGAAGAGUAUGAAGAGGGACAUGUCCAUGUUAUUGAAAAGAAGAUCAUAUAAGCUCUGCUUAUGGAGACAUAGGAACUAAUAAACAGAUAUGUGGGAAAGUCCAUGCUGAAGAAAUUGAACUUUUUUGGACCUGUUGGUCAAGUGAUGUUGACCACACUGUAUUUCAGCCGCUGAUUUCCCUAAGCAUGGCAUUAUUUUUCAACUCAAAGAUUAUACAGCAAGAUAACCCCCAGCAGAAUAACACUGGAGAGAGUUUUAGCAUUGUUUUGCUUGCGUUUAAAGUAUCAGAGGAAAAAUGCUGCCGCUCUGAAGCCCUGUGAGCUAACGGGAGAGCCCCUCGCAAAGUCCUCAAGAAUAAGAAGAAGAAAAAAAAAGGUCCAGAUGACAUUUACUUUCUGCAGACAGAACUGAAGGCAGGCAGCAGCGACUAUUUCCAAAAAGCCCAUCACCACCUCUGCUAUUUCCAUGGGAAAAAGAAAGGAAAUUGGAUCCUACAAGAGAACUGUUUUCCAAAAUGCAAUGAGGUCUCAGAAUAGCCUGUUUAUUCAAGAGCAUUUACUUCUCUAAUGAGACAGGGGAAGACUUAGGCCUUGCAAUUGCAUAACUCAGCUGGGUUAUAUUCAAGCAGUAUCUUUGAAAAUAAGUGUAUGCAUUACACUGAAAGGAGAUAAACUGUUAGCAUGCCUCAUAGCCACACUAUUUGUAGGUGCUGGGGGGGAGGCAGCUCAGGCAGGGUCUUGGAAAGUCCAUUUGUUCUUCUUGAGGAAAUUUGCUGGAGAGACUUGCAGAAGGAAUGCAAGAUGGAGCAAAAGUAGCUCAGUCGUCAUAGGACCAAAUUCAUCUCUUCUGUGAGUAACUUGACUGAAAAAGGCUGAUCUUACUGCUGAAAAAAUUGCAUAUUCUCAUUAAUUAAUAUUUCUGCUGUGGUUUUGGUAGGCACUGGGAAUGUCUUCCGUGCCAUCUAGAAUCCAAAGACACCAAAAUCCUCCUCCAAAUUUAUUAUAGCUUCUUAGAUAAAGGCUAGUCCAAGUACUGGCUUCUUGCUCUUAAAGCUUUUUUACUAGACAAGAUCGCAGAAUGAUUCUCUGCAAAUCACACUGUUUCAUAUACUGUAAUUAGUGCAACAGACAAAGCAGCUGAUGUAGUGAUGACAGAGCUGACUUUAUGAUUAGCGAGAAUUGUAUUCUUAUAAAUGAUUUCAUCUCAAUAAGUGUGUUGGGAAUUUCUAAUCUCAGUGCCUUUUACAGUUGGAUGUUUUUUUAAAUUUUGAAGUUAGGAGUGCCAGGAGUCUGUGCAGGAGGCGGUGGCAUCGCUGCAUGGACGCUGCUGAGCUGCAGGGCCACCUCUGGGGUGUCCCCAGUCCCCGAGCCGUGCGGCCGAAGGAGGGGCAGAGGCAUUGGGGCCACUUGCGGGGGACAAGCCCAGGGUUAUUUCAACCACUGACUCAGACCCCACUUCCCGGCAUCUUCUGACUCUGGGCAACACUCCUCUCUGGAAAAAGCAGUGAGCACUUUGUCCUACCCCUGCUCAGGGCCUUCACAGUCCAUUGGCUAUGGCCACUCGGGGGCUUGUGGCUAGCCAGAAGAUGAGCUGAUGGCCAAGGUAUCUCAGCCGUGGUAGGGCUCGCUGUGCCCUGCAGGCUGCUCAGUGAAAGGCACCUAGUUCAAGCUGGGAGCCGGAGGCUGAGAGGGCUGCUCCCCAGCAUGGCCCUAGAAAAAUCUGUGGGGCACAGAGGCUGCAGCAGGUAACGUGCACCUUCCUGGAGAGCUGGUGGAGGUGGCCGGUCGGAGGAGUCCACACGCGUGCCGGGAGGCCGCGGGAAGACGAGGGGCACACCUUCGGGGUCCCUCCCGGAGCUUGUGCUCAUGUUCCCAAGCUGUUCCGCUGUGCAGAACCAGGAAACAUUGCAUAUGGGUAUUGGAGCCAAAGGGCUUGGGCUUCCAAAAUAGCAGCGCCUCUUGCGAUACUAAUGAUGAAAUAUUUGAGGUUCUUUUAUCCAGAGAAGAGCACUCUCCAUAUGCUCAAAUGAGUCUAACGGACUCUCUCCAUUAGAGGGCAGAAGCAUGCUUAUGCAUGGAUAAAAUAAAACAAAAUGACACGCCAUAUAUGCUAUAUAAUUUGCUGUGUUAAGGGAAGGUAGAACAUCAUCGUGGGAAAGACAGACAACUUCACCUGCUGCAAAGAAAAAGAAGCAGCAAGACCUGUGUUUCAAGGGUUAAUUUCUGUCGCUGGCAGAACUCAGUGCUCUUUGUAGCACCUCCCUCUGUUUACAAUUGAAAACAGAUUAAAUUUACGAUAUGGUAAGUACAAA